GACGAACGCUGGCGGCGUGCCUAAUACAUGCAAGUUGAGCGCUGAAGGUUGGUACUUGUACCGACUGGAUGAGCAGCGAACGGGUGAGUAACGCGUGGGGAAUCUGCCUUUGAGCGGGGGACAACAUUUGGAAACGAGUGCUAAUACCGCAUAAAAACUUUAAACACAAGUUUUAAGUUUGAAAGAUGCAAUUGCAUCACUCAAAGAUGAUCCCGCGUUGUAUUAGCUAGUUGGUGAGGUAAAGGCUCACCAAGGCGAUGAUACAUAGCCGACCUGAGAGGGUGAUCGGCCACAUUGGGACUGAGACACGGCCCAAACUCCUACGGGAGGCAGCAGUAGGGAAUCUUCGGCAAUGGACGAAAGUCUGACCGAGCAACGCCGCGUGAGUGAAGAAGGUUUUCGGAUCGUAAAACUCUGUUGGUGGAGAAGAACGUUGGUGAGAGUGGAAAGCUCAUCAAGUGACGGUAACUACCCAGAAAGGGACGGCUAACUACGUG
rnacentral:rRNA from 1 species